rnacentral:rRNA from 1 species
CUAGCGUCGAGAGCAGUCAUGAAGCUGAACGUCAGAUCCUACGAGCAGCAUGGAUAUGGCCAAUUAGGCCAGCUGAUGCAGCAUGCGCGGUUAGAGGAGCCUUCGGGUUGUAAGUACCUCAGCGGGAGGAAGGUGUGAGUAUAACUCAGCAAUUGACGUACCGCAGAAGAAGCACCGCUACUCCGUGCAGCAGCCGCGGUAUACGAGGGGUGCAAGCGUUAAUCGGAAUUACUGGGCGUAAAGCGCACGCAGGCGGUCUGUCAAGUCGGAUGUGAAAUCCCCGGGCUCAACCUGGGAACUGCAUUCGAAACUGGCAGGCUAGAGUCUUGUAGAGGGGGGUAGAAUUUCAGGUGUAGCGGUGAAAUGCGUAGAGAUCUGGAGGAAUACCGGUGGCGAAGGCGGCCCCCUGGACAAAGACUGACGCUCAGGUGCGAAAGCGUGGGGAGCAAACAGGAUUAGAUACCCUGGUAGUUCACGCCGUAAACGAUGUCGACUUGGAGGUUGUGCCCUUGAGGCGUGGCUUCCGGAGCUAACGCGUUAAGUCGACCGCCUGGGGAGUACGGCCGCAAGGUUAAAACUCAAAUGAAUUGACGGGGGCCCGCACAAGCGGUGGAGCAUGUGGUUUAAUUCGAUGCAACGCGAAGAACCUUACCUACUCUUGACAUCCAGAGAACUUUCCAGAGAUGGAUUGGUGCCUUUGGGAACUUUGAGACAGGUGCUGCAUGGCUGUCGUCAGCUCGUGUUGUGAAAUGUUGGGUUAAGUCCCGCAACGAGCGCAACCCUUAUCCUUUGUUGCCAGCGGUUCGGCCGGGAACUCAAAGGAGACUGCCAGUGAUAAACUGGAGGAAGGUGGGGAUGACGUCAAGUCAUCAUGGCCCUUACGAGUAGGGCUACACACGUGCUACAAUGGCGCAUACAAAGAGAAGCGACCUCGCGAGAGCAAGCGGACCUCAUAAAGUGCGUCGUAGUCCGGAUUGGAGUUUGCAACUUGACUCCAUGAAGUCGGAAUCGCUAGUAAUUGUAGAUCAGAAUGCUACGGUGAAUACGUUCCCGGGCCUUGUACACACCGCCCGUCACACCAUGGGAGUGGGUUGCAAAAGAAGUAGGUAGCUUAACCUUCGGGAGGGCGCUUACCACUUUGUGAUCAUGACUGGGGGAAGUCGUAGCGAUGAGCAACGCCCCC